GACGAACGCUGGCGGCGUGCCUAAUACAUGCAAGUUGAGCGCUGAAGGUUGGUACUUGUACCAACUGGAUGAGCAGCGAACGGGUGAGUAACGCGUGGGGAAUCUGCCUUGAGCGGGGGACAACAUUUGGAAACGAAUGCUAAUACCGCAUAAAAACUUUAAACACAAGUUUUAAGUUUGAAAGAUGCAAUUGCAUCACUCAAAGAUGAUCCCGCGUUGUAUUAGCUAGUUGGUGAGGUAAAGGCUCACCAAGGCGAUGAUACAUAGCCGACCUGAGAGGGUGAUCGGCCACAUUGGGACUGAGACACGGCCCAAACUCCUACGGGAGGCAGCAGUAGGGAAUCUUCGGCAAUGGACGAAAGUCUGACCGAGCAACGCCGCGUGAGUGAAGAAGGUUUUCGGAUCGUAAAACUCUGUUGGUAGAGAAGAACGUUGGUGGGAGUGGAAAGCUCAUCAAGUGACGGUAACUACCCAGAAAGGGACGGCUAACUACGUG
rnacentral:rRNA from 1 species